UAAAACGGCACUAAGACUUUUG
rnacentral:miRNA from 1 species